GAGCAAGCUUGCUUGCUCUGCCGGCGACCGGCGCACGGGUGAGUAACACGUAUGCAACCUGCCCUCCGCAGGGGGAUAACCCGGAGAAAUCCGGACUAAUACCGCGUGGUACACCAGUGGGGCAUCCCACGGGUGUUAAAAGGAAGUGAUUCCGGCGGAGGAUGGGCAUGCGGCGCAUUAGCUUGUUGGCGGGGUAACGGCCCACCAAGGCGACGAUGCGUAGGGGUUCUGAGAGGAAGGUCCCCCACACUGGUACUGAGACACGGACCAGACUCCUACGGGAGGCAGCAGUGAGGAAUAUUGGUCAAUGGGCGGGAGCCUGAACCAGCCAAGUCGCGUGAGGGAAGACGGUCCUAUGGAUUGUAAACCUCUUUUGCCGGGGAGCAAGGUGUGCCACGUGUGGCCCAACUGAGAGUACCCGGAGAAAAAGCAUCGGCUAACUCCGUGCCAGCAGCCGCGGUAAUACGGAGGAUGCGAGCGUUAUCCGGAUUUAUUGGGUUUAAAGGGUGCGUAGGCGGACUGUCAAGUCAGCGGUAAAAUUGAGAGGCUCAACCUCUUCCCGCCGUUGAAACUGGUGGUCUUGAGUGGAUG
rnacentral:rRNA from 1 species